CUACGGGUGGCUGCAGUGAGGAAUAUUGCACAAUGGGGGGAACCCUGAUGCAGCAACGCCGCGUGGAGGAUGACGCAUUUCGGUGUGUAAACUCCUUUUAUAUGUCAAGAAAAUGACGGUAGCAUAUGAAUAAGCGCCGGCUAACUCCGUGCCAGCAGCCGCGGUAAUACGGAGGGCGCAAGCGUUACUCGGAAUCACUGGGCGUAAAGGACGCGUAGGCGGGUUGAAAAGUCAGGUGUGAAAGCCUACAGCUUAACUGUAGAACUGCACUUGAAACUCUCAAUCUAGAGUAUGGGAGGGGCAGACGGAAUUAGUGGUGUAGGGGUAAAAUCCGUAGAUAUCACUAGGAAUACCUAAAGCGAAGGCGAUCUGCUGGAACAUUACUGACGCUAAGGCGUGAAAGCGUGGGGAGCAAACAGGAUUAGAUACCCCUGUAGUC
rnacentral:rRNA from 1 species